UUGUUAUUGUUUUUUCUUUGCUAACCUCAAAUUUGCCUUAAAAUUAAAAUCAUCUCUCUAUAAGAAAUACAAUCAGUGGAUAUCAUGGUUAUUACGUUACGUGAUACACUAUUAUCAAUUGCUAAUUGCUAUGAAAAAGGAUAAUUCAAUACUGAAAUACAAAAAAGAAGAUCAUGGUUGAAAGUUCGGAAAAAUAAAUAACUGUGGUUUAGGGCUUGCCUGCAAUUACGCCUGAGUUGUUAUCGAAGAUGUAGCCUACGGUUGGAACACGCUAGCACGCUGUAGACGGAAGGUAGACGUACCACCAAGCGAUAUAGCAUUCCGAAUGUCUCGUAAGCAUCCUCUUGGUGAGGAAGAUCUUGAUUUGGCGAUAAUGUGGAGAUAGUGAAGAUGACUUAUUAGUUAGCAUAUACUCAAUAGGGUCUAGGGCCGUCAAGAGUGACAAAAAGCUAAGCAUACCAUGGAUUCACUGUGCAGACACCGGGUCCACUCGGAGAAUAACUCUGAGCAGAGUCCUGGAGUUAAGGAAUUUCUUGAGGAUCAAUCAACAGUCCCCUCCUCUGUUCAUAACAUCCGUACAUUUUGUGUAUGAUUCCGAAUAAUGUUUGUACAAAUAAACG
rnacentral:lncRNA from 1 species